CGUAAUUUCACGAACAUUUAAAUGACGUCACUUAGGCAGUAAAUGCCCUCCCUUCCCUCCCCCGGCUUCUUGGUCGCCGUAUGUUGGGUUUUUUUCUUCACUCAGUUUAAUUUUUAGCUUUUGUAAUUUUUAUACUUUGUUCCUCAAACCAACACUCUGAAGGACUGACGAGGAGCGGCAUAGACAUCUCAUUUACUGCCUCAGUGACGUCGUUUAAAUGUUCGUGAAAUUACGAUCAAACUUCAACUUGGUAAGUAUCGUUUAAUCUUAUAAUUUACAGGGCAAAUCGCUUGGCAGGGUUGGUCAACUACUACCAGGCUUCAUUAAACCUGAUGACAGAAAUUUACCAAGAGUUGACAUCUUUAUGAUUGUAGAUUUCUAUUGAGAGCUCCGUCAUCCAGCCAUGAAACACGUCAAGAUGCAGAGAUCUGCUGGCGAGGACUACGGCGACGAUGCAGUUGGAUAUGUGCAGUUAAGACGAGCUGACGGAGUCUGUGAAGUUGCUGGCCGCAUCACACCUGAGCAGAGUUUCAUCCAAACCUUACUGUGUCAUUGUUACGAUAGAUGAAACCACAGAAAAGGUUGUUGAUGCCAAGUGUAUGGACUGUGCUGCAGCAGAGGGGUAUUGUAAGCAUGGAACAGCAUUUUUAGGAUGGCUUGAAAGGCGCAGUUCUCAAAAGUCUGUACGCCAUCCACCUUACACUGGAAAAAGGCUCGGUUAUCCAACGUAACGGUGGAAACAAAGGAAACUGCCCUGGAAACAAUACGUGCCAAACCUAGAAAAAAGCAAAAAACAGACUUUGAUGCCCAUGGCAGGUUUCUUGCUGCUGUAUUAGAAAAUGCUCCAGAAGGAACAACAGGUCUCAUUUUUUAUCACCUUGCUGUUAAGCCACAUAAAGGUGAAGAGUUAGGCAUUGAUCAUCUUCUGCAGGAAUUCUUGAAAGGCCACAUUGGAGAACCUGCUUGUAGACAGUUCUUGCAGUUUUGUAAAAUGAAAAUGACAGAUGAACUUUGUGAAUUAAUAAGUAAAGAAACUAUUUCACAGGAAAGUCACCACUAUGGCACACUGUGAGGUUUGCACGUGUGACAGCUUCCAAGGCAUAUGCAGCAGCUCAUAGUUCUGGGAAGAUAACAAGUUCAUUGGUAAUGUCAGUGAUUGGUGCUGCAAAACUUAAGGUUGCCAUGAGUAAAGGUAGAGAGUUAGAACCCCUUGUACUCAAGGAAGUUGCAUUACAUAUAGGGGUAGUUGAUCACACGGAGGCAUUUUUCUAAAUCCAAGACAUCCUGUAAUGGGUGUAUCACCUGAUGACAUAACUAAGGAUGGUGAGUGUAUUGUGGAAGUGAAGUGUCCAACAACCCAGAAAAACUUCCGUAAAUAUAUAAAGGAAGAUGGAUCUGUGGCAGCAAAACACUUGGCACAAGUACAAAUGCUAAUGCACAUAACAUGCAAAAAAUAGGCUUACUUUUGUGUGGCACAUCCUGAUUUUGAAGUGACAAAGUGUUUGAAAAUGGUGAAAGUAAUGUAUGAUUCAGUUUAUUCGGAAAGCCUCAUGCAAAAAUGUCAGCACUUUUGGGAAAAUACGGUUUUUAUUGAGCUCUGCAGAAUGUACAUGUCAUGAAUCAUCUCUGGAAUGGUAUGCCUACUUCAUUUAAUGUAUAACAUUCCCUUCAGGAACUCUUCUCCAGAAUGUGCAUCAUUAUAGAAAUUUGCUACAUCUUGCAUCUAAACUGGUGCAACAUAUUCAAGAAUGAAAAAUAAAAGAAAAUAUUAGGGAAA